CUUUAAGGACUAAUCCUCACAGGCUUUUGACCUGAACGUGAGCAGAUGGAUUUACUUCAGCUGUUUUCUGCCUUUCUGAUUGUUUUUCCUGAAGAAGUUUAAAGACCAGGAAACAGAGCAUUUGAGCUUUAACAAGCUGAUGGAUAUGGAAUAACUGACUUGAAGUACAGGACCUUCUAGAUUUGUAAAGCAGUAAAGAGACCAGUCUCUGGAGCGAGUUGCCUGGAUCUGAAUUCGUCCUCCUGUAGUUACUACGAACUGGACAACCUCAGACAAGCUACCUAACUUCUGUAUCCCUCCAUCUUCUCAUCUCUAAAGUGGAGAUAAAAACGGUACCUCCCUCA